UCAUCGAAGCGUUGUCAGGAAGAGGGAGACGGCUCAAGCUUUGCGAAGCAUGGGAGGGGCGCAGCGACCGAGGCGAUAGCAAACGGGGCGCUUGCAUCGGGUGCGUCCAGGCUUUGUUAAGUUGGGGGACUCGUUUCUCGCCGAAGCGUUGGCGGAAAAAGAGGGUCGACGCGUGGGGAGAUGGCUAGAACUUUGUAAAGCAAUGGUGGGAACGCAGCGCCCGAAGUGAUUAGCGAUCGGG
rnacentral:lncRNA from 1 species